UACAGAGGUCUCAAGCGUUGUUCGGAUUCAUUGGGCGUAAAGGGUGCGUAGGUGGCGCUGUAAGUCGGGUGUGAAAUUUCGGAGCUUAACUCCGAAACUGCAUUCGAUACUGCGGUGCUUGAGGACUGGAGAGGAGACUGGAAUUCAUGGUGUAGCAGUGAAAUGCGUAGAGAUCAUGAGGAAGACCAGUGGCGAAGGCGGGUCUCUGGACAGUUCCUGACACUGAGGCACAAAGGCCAGGGGAGCAAACGGG
rnacentral:rRNA from 1 species